AUUGAACGCUGGCGGCAUGCCUUACACAUGCAAGUCGAACGGUAACGCGGGGCAACCUGGCGACGAGUGGCGAACGGGUGAGUAAAGCAUCGGAACGUGCCCAGUAGUGGGGGAUAGCCCGGCGAAAGCCGGAUUAAUACCGCAUACGACCUACGGGUGCAAGGGGGGGAUCGCAAGACCUCUCGCUAUUGGAGCGGCCGAUGUCAGAUUAGGUAGUUGGUGGGGUAAAGGCCUACCAAGCCGACGAUCUGUAGCUGGUCUGAGCGGACGACCAGGCACACUGGGACUGAGACGCGGCCCAGACUCCUACGGGAGGCGACAGGGGGGAAUUUUGGACAAUGGGCGCAAGCCUGGUCCAGCCAUGCCGCGUGCGGGAAGAAGGCCUUCGGGUUGUAAACCGCUUUUGUCAGGGAAGAAAUCUUCUGGGUUAAUACCUCGGGAGGAUGACGGUACCUGAAGAAUAAGCACCGGCUAACUACGUGCCAGCAGCCGCAGUAACAC
rnacentral:rRNA from 1 species